GAUGAAGAACGCAGCGAAAUGCGAUACGUAAUGUGAAUUGCAGAAUUCAGUGAAUCAUCGAAUCUUUGAACGCAUAUUGCGCUCUUUGGUAUUCCGAAGAGCAUGCUUGUUUGAGUAUCAGUAAACACCUCAAAGUCUUUUUUUUUUCUUGAAGAAAAAGACCUUGGACUUGAGCAAUCCCAACUCUUCUUUCAGAAGAGGCGGGUUGCUUGAAAUGCAGGUGCAGCUGGACAUUCUCCUGAGCUAAAAGCAUAUUCAUUUAGUCCCAUCAAACGGAUUAUUACUUUUGCUGCAGCUAACAUAAAGGGAGUUUGACCAUUUUGGCUGACUGAUGCAGGAAUUUCACAAGAGUCUUCAAAACGCUCUUGUUAAACUCGAUCUCAAAUCAAGUAAGACUACCCGCUGAACUUAAGCAUAUCAAUAAGCGGAGGA
rnacentral:misc_RNA from 1 species